CUGGAGACUGCUCAUAUUUGAUAACAUAGAGAAUGGAAGCUUAAAGGAGCAUCUCAAUGAUCCCUUGAAGACUCCCUUAAAUUGGAGGAUGAGGUUGCAGAUUGCUAAUGAAGUUGUAGUAGCACUGAAAUACUUGUUUCUUUUUAGUGAUCCACCAGCAUAUCAUGUCUCCAUCAGCUCAAGCAAUAUUAUGUUAGAUGAGAACUUUGCAGCUAAAAUAAGGAAACAUUUCUUUUCUCACUAGAAAUAGCAUGUUCUAUAUUUGAUUGACAUGCCAGAAGUAAAUAAAGCACUUCAAUGUUAAAAUAGUGUGACACCAGAUUUUCUUCUCUAAUACAGUUAUUAGAUUUUGUCCUUCUUACUCCCAGUGCAAACUCUGUCAUGAUGCCGAAUUCAGGAGGUCCUUAUCUCUCUACAGAAAACAAACCAGGUUAUAUACAUUAGAGAUGUUGAGAGGCUUAGCUUGUUCUACAAUCACCAAGAUUAUACAACUUGAUACAUAAUGCUUCACUGUUUUUGAAAGGAGAUGUAUGAACAUAAUGGAGUUUGUAAUUUGUAGUUUAUAUUUUAGAGAUUUAUAAUUCCUUGUUUUUCUUGUCCUAUGUAUCUAUCUAGUUCAUGAGGGUUUUUCAAUGUGUCUUGUUAGUUUGUACUUUAAAGUUUAUAUGUUGAAGAUUUAUAAAACAAUCUUAGUUGAAUUAAAG